GACGAACCGUCCGAACGUUAUUCGGUAUCACUGGGCUUAAAGAGUUCGUAGGCGGCCUAGCAGGUGAGGUGUGAAAGCCCUCGGCUCAACCGGGGAACUGCGCUUCAAACCGCAAGGCUGGAGGGAGAUAGAGGUGAGCGGAACAGAUGGUGGAGCGGUGAAAUGCGUUGAUAUCAUCUGGAACACCGGUGGCGAAAGCGGCUCACUGGAUCUUUUCUGACGCUGAGGAACGAAAGCUAGGGUAGCGAACGGG
rnacentral:rRNA from 1 species